GUGCCAGCAGCCGCGGUAAUACGGAGGUCCCGAGCGUUGUUCGGAAUCACUGGGCGUAAAGGGCGCCUAGGCGGGUCUGUUAGUCGGGUAUGAAAUCCCCUUGGCUCAACCAGGGAACCGUGCCCGAAACUGCAGGCCUAGAGUGUAGCAGAGGAGAGUGGAACUCCUGGUGGAGCGGUGAAAUGCGUAGAUAUCAGGAGGAACGCCGGAGGCGAAAGCGAUUCUCUGGGCUACUACUGACGCUGAAGCGCGAAAGCUAGGGGAGCAAACGGGAUUAGAUACCCCGGUAGUCCUAGCCGUAAACGAUGAGCACUAAGUAGAGGAGACUCCGACGUUUUCCCUGCUGUAGCUAACGCGUUAAGUGCUCCGCCUGGGGACUACGGUCGCAAGACUAAAACUUAAAUGAAUUGACGGGG
rnacentral:rRNA from 1 species